rnacentral:rRNA from 1 species
UACGUAGGGGGCGAGCGUUAUCCGGAAUUACUGGGUGUAAAGGGAGCGUAGACGGCGAAGUAAGCCUGAAGUGGAAGCCCGCGGCCCAACCGCGGAACUGCUUUGGGAACUGCUUAGCUGGAGUAUGGGAGGGGUAAGCGGAAUUCCUGGUGUAGCGGUGAAAUGCGUAGAUAUCAGGAGGAACACCGGUGGCGAAGGCGGCUUACUGGACCAUGACUGACGUUGAGGCUCGAAAGCGUAGGGAGCGAACAGG